GAUGAACGCUGGCGGCGUGCUUAACACAUGCAAGUCGAACGAGGAAGCCCAGCUUGCUGGGUGGAUUAGUGGCGAACGGGUGAGUAACACGUGAGUAACCUGCCCUUAACUCUGGGAUAAGCCUGGGAAACUGGGUCUAAUACCGGGUAGGAGCGUCCACCGCAUGGUGGGUGUUGGAAAGAUUUAUCGGUUUUGGAGGGACGCGCGGCCUAUCAGCUGGUUGGUGAGGUACUGGAUCACCAAGGCGACGCCGGGACGCCGGCCUGAGAGGGGGACCGGCCACACUGGGACUGAGAGACGGCCCAGACUCCUCCGGGAGGGAGAGGUGGGGAAUAUUGCACAAUGGGCGCAAGCGGGUUGCAGCGACGCCGCGUGAGGGAGGACGGCCUUCGGGUUGUAAACAUCUUUCAGUAGGGAAGAAGCGAAAUGGACGGAACCUGCAGAAGAAGCACCGCCUACCUACGG
rnacentral:rRNA from 1 species